UACAGAGACUGCAAGCGUUAUUCGGAUUCACUGGGCGUAAAGGGUGCGCAGGCGGCCGUGUGUGUGAGGCGUGAAAGCCCGGGGCUUAACCCCGGAAUUGCACCUCAAACUACACGGCUAGAGCAUUGGAGAGGGUAGCGGAAUUCACGGUGUAGCAGUGAAAUGCGUAGAUAUCGGGAGGAACACCGGUGGCGAAGGCGGCCCUCUGGACGGUGACUGACGUUGAGGGACGAAGGCUCGGGUAACGAACAGG
rnacentral:rRNA from 1 species